CGGAACGUGCCCAAUCGUGGGGGAUAGCUCGGCGAAAGCCGGAUUAAUACCGCAUACGAUCUACGGAUGAAAGCAGGGGACUCGCAAGGGCCUUGCGCGAAUGGAGCGGCCGAUGGCAGAUUAGGUAGUUGGUGGGGUAAAGGCUCACCAAGCCGACGAUCUGUAGCUGGUCUGAGAGGACGACCAGCCACACUGGGACUGAGACACGGCCCAGACUCCUACGGGAGGCAGCAGUGGGGAAUUUUGGACAAUGGGCGCAAGCCUGAUCCAGCAAUGCCGCGUGCAGGAUGAAGGCCUUCGGGUUGUAAACUGCUUUUGUACGGAACGAAAAGGCUCUGGUUAAUACCUGGGGCUCAUGACGGUACCGUAAGAAUAAGCACCGGCUAACUACGUGCCAGCAGCCGCGGUAAUACGUAGGGUGCGAGCGUUAAUCGGAAUUACUGGGCGUAAAGCGUGCGCAGGCGGUGGUGUAAGACAGUUGUGAAAUCCCCGGGCUCAACCUGGGAACUGCAUCUGUGACUGCAUCGCUGGAGUGCGGCAGAGGGGGAUGGAAUUCCGCGU
rnacentral:rRNA from 1 species